UUAUAAAUCCAUUCAUUUAUAUUAAUAAUAUAUUUAUAAAUAUAAAUAUAGGUGCGACUUCGUCCGGCUUUGCUCCUUCCAAGUUCAUCUCGUGAAAGAAAGUGAUGGCGAGCUUUGCAUGGCCGUUGUGGGCGAGUGCUGUGAGCAAAGAGUUACAGGUUUUAUCGACGUGCUCGCUUCCAUGGUAGGGAGAAUCCAUUGAAACGUUACACUUGGUCAUGUUUAUAAACAUCUCUCUGGCUUCCUCAAGAUACCCAUUCU
rnacentral:lncRNA from 1 species